UGAUAGAUAACUCAGUCGGUAGAGCAUGAGACUCUUAAUCUCAGGGUGGUGGAUUCGAGUCCUACUUUGUGCAA